UACGAAGGGGGCUAGCGUUGCUCGGAAUUACUGGGCGUAAAGCGCACGUAGGCGGCUUUUUAAGUCGGGGGUGAAAUCCUGGAGCUCAACUCCAGAACUGCCUUCGAUACUGGAAAGCUCGAGUCCGGGAGAGGUGAGUGGAACUGCGAGUGUAGAGGUGAAAUUCGUAGAUAUCGGGAGGAACACCGGUGGCGAAGGCGGCGACCUGGGUAGAUACUGACGCUGAGGUGCGAAAGCGUGGGGAGCAAACAGG
rnacentral:rRNA from 1 species